GACGAACCGUACGAACGUUAUUCGGAAUUACUGGGCUUAAAGGGUUUGUAGGCGGCCUUGUAAGUCAGGUGUGAAAUCCCUCGGCUCAACCGAGGAAUGGCGCUUGAUACUGCAAGGCUUGAGGGAGACAGGGGUAAGCGGAACUGAUGGUGGAGCGGUGAAAUGCGUUGAUAUCAUCAGGAACACCGGUGGCGAAAGCGGCUUACUGGGUCUCUUCUGACGCUGAGGCGCGAAAGCCAGGGGAGCAAACGGG
rnacentral:rRNA from 1 species